rnacentral:lncRNA from 1 species
UUGCGUUUUAGGAGCUGAUGUCCCCGAGACGCUACGUACGUAGAUCCGUUCCGGCACCACCUCCCGUGGUGCCAGAGCAGGCUGGACCUCCGGUGGCGCCAGAGCCUGCUGGGCCUAGCGAGGUGCAGGAGUUACGAGCGCAAGUUACCGCGCUAACCAGUCAGGUCGAGCGACUCCAGGAACUUUUGGAGCGGCAGGUGGCGGCGGCUGCCCGCUCGUGCCCGUGCCCUCGGCUCGCGCGCCUAAUGCGGCUGAGGGUGUGGGCAUUGCGGCAGCUCCGGCGGCGGCGCAUCCCCCGCCAGCAAGUGCUCAUCCGGCAGCUUCGGGUUCGGCGAUACCCGAUGNUCCCUCAAGUCUAGAGACCGGUCCCAGCACCCGAAAAUGGCCCAGUUUGGGCUGUGCACAACUCAUAUUGUUGAGGGACCUUUGUGCAAAUGUGCAAAGUGUAUAGAGAGGGUUGGGGGCUCAUUUCCUCUCAUUCUCCCUCACAUUGCAACCAAAAGAAGACCUCUCUCUCUCUCUCUAGCUCUCCUCUCUCUCUCUAUAAGGGUGGAUCUUGGAGGAGGAUUUGGUGGAGAAGAAGUGAAGAAGAAGGAUCAUCAUCUUCAUCUUCUCCUUCUUGGCCAUUGGAGCUAGCACAUAGAGGUAAGCUUGGUGCUUGUUAAUGGUAGAUCUCUAGAGCUUGAAUCUCUUGCUCUAUAAUUGGUUUUAGUGAACCUCUUUGAUGCUAAAUAGAUGAUCUAAGCUUGAAUCUAGAGGUUUAAUGGUGGGUUUUGCAAUGGUAGCAAACCUAGGGUUAAAAAUAGGAUUUUUGGAAAUCAAGGGUUUUGAUCUAAAUUUAGUGGUUGUAAACCUAACUGCUAGGUAUUCCGACGCGUUGGCGAAGUCGGUUCGUCGAUUCGUCGAGCGGGUGCGAAGAUAUUGAAGAAAAGGCUUGUUGAGGUACAGAUUGCCGCAGCUCGCGGCGAAAGCUUCCUAAAAUCGCGAAAUCGGAAUCGUGGGCUCGUGGCAUCACCUAAAGGUGGGGGGUGUCCAUCCGAAGCAAUCGGGCUUUCUUCUAUGUCCGAGUUAGAUUUUUGGUCAUAUUGCACAUAUAGUUCUUAUGCAUUGUAGGAUGUAUGUAUUAAUAACAUUUCUACUUUCCUUGCAUGCAUGUCUAGUUGUGUAGUAUUAUGGACUUGACACCUAAAUCUAGAAUGCAUGAGGAUUAGGAUUGUGACAUGAGAUCCUAUGAUGAUAAGAGAAUAGAGAACUUGGACUUGAUGAUGAAAACUAGUGACAUGUGAACUAAUGUAUAGAAAACAUUUAUAACUUGGACGAGUGGCAUGUAAAUAAUGUUAAAUACAUGACGAGCGGCAUUGGAACUUAGUGUAAAAGAAACACUAUGGCAUUGAACAUAGGGAAUAAGUGAGUUUCCUAGUCAUGACACGUUGGAUGAGACCUUAGUGUAAUUGAGACACUUGACAUGUACCUAGGGAUAGGUGGGCUUUCGAGUGUUUGUUAACCCUAGUUAACAGGGUAUCCUCAGUUGGCAAGGAUUGGAUCAUACUCACAUAGUCUGUUUUGAGCUUGUGGUGGUCGCUCCACACAAGCAGUGCACUCCGGAGUUGUUACACGAGCGGGGUAGCUCACGAACGGGCUAGCUCAUUGGGUGGGAUACGAGCGGGGUAGCUCCUCACCCAUUGGACUGGGACGUGAGUUGGGGCGAAGGGCGGGGUAGCCUUUUCCCUAUGAGAUUGAGCGGGGCAGCUCAUUAUCUAUGAGAUUAGAGCGGGGUAGCUCUUCAUCUAUGACCUUUGAGAUGUGAGACGGGUGAGAUAAGAGCGGGGUAGCUCCUCACCUAUGAGAUUUGAGACAUCAGUCAGGGCGAAGAGCGGGGUAGCUCUUCACCUCUUCACCUACUAGGUUGUGGUGUGAGUACCUAUGAGAUUUGAGAUCUUAGGCGGGGUAGCCUAGUGGAUUUGGUAAUGACAUGAAUAGCAUAAGUGGAUUUGCAUUCACACCCUGAUUAGACAUAGUAUAUGUUAGUGGAUUGCAUAACUGUGUCGUAUUUGUAUUCAUUACAUUGUUGAAGCACAUUAUCAUGAUAGUAGGCUUAUUGCUAGACGAUAUUUCAUGCAUUGCUUGCAUUUGAUGGCACAAUAGAUCAUAGUUGCAGUUCAAUAUCUAUCUAUCUCUCUAUCAAUCUAUCUGUGCUAACUUAGACCUAGUGGGAAGAUCGGCGGAGUCGGCGGCCGAACCCACUGGGCACUAUAUUUAUAUAGUUCUCACCCCAUGUGGUUUUGGGGUACAGGUACACACGUGAGCGGACCGGCAGGUGAUCUCGGUAAGGGCGUAGCGCCCUAGCUAGCUAGUAGAGCUUUCCUAUUGUACUAGAGCACCCUCGUGUGCAUGGUUAUAGAUGACAUGAUGUAUUUUGGAUAGCUAGCAUUAUAUACAUGUGAGAUGAUUAUGUAUUCAUUUUGGAAGCUUAAAUGUAACCAAGUUGUAUUAAAUGUUGAAUGUCAAAUGUGAUGUAAUAGAUAGUUAUAUCUCUCUUUUAUUCACUUGUUUAUGCUUGUGAUGCUUGCUCUUGUAAUGUUCGGCACUGGUUGUGCCCUCGCUAUUGUUUUGAUCAUGUAUGUAUUCAAGUUGAUUUCCUGGGAACUUGUUGUACAUGAUCCUGUUGUUUAGCCUUGGGCGGACAGGGGAGGUGCUGUCCGUUCGGCGUCUGUUCGACGCGCCCGGAUCGGACCAAAUUGGUAGCGGUCUCGGGGCGUGACAGAUAAAAUGGUAUCAGAGCGAGUUAAGAGCAAGCAAAGAGAGAGUCUAGGAUUGACCUAGGAGACCCUAGGACGGAAACCUUAAGGCUAUAGGUGCGUGAGUGACGUGAACCUAUGCGUUGUGGCGGGAGUUGAUUCGAUUGGGUCGAAGUUGUUGAUAGUAUGUUUCUAGUAGUUACUAGAGACGGAUUCAAGUGGUAUUAAUUCUUGACUUGAAGUGGUUGUGUUGGGCGGCCGACAACAUGACACUAAGAGUUUAGAACGAGUACACUUGUGUGCUCCCGCCUAAUUUGCGAUGUUGAGUCGUUUUAUCUCGUAAUUGCGCGAGUUUAACGGGUUAAGAUGAUUAACCAAAUGUUUGCGUUUCAGGAGCUGAUGUCCCCGAGACGCUACGUACGUAGAUCCGUUCCGGCACCACCUCCCGUGGUGCCAGAGCAGGCUGGACCUCCGGUGGCGCCAGAGCCUGCUGGGCCUAGCGAGGUGCAGGAGUUACGAGCGCAAGUUACCGCGCUAACCAGUCAGGUCGAGCGGCUCCAGGAACUUUUGGAGCAGCAGGUGGCGGCGGCGGCCGCGACGGCAGUUGAAGGCCGUGGUCCGCCCGUGCCCUCGGCUCGCGCGCCUAAUGCGGCUGAGGGUGUGGGCAUUGCGGCAGCUCCGGCGGCGGCGCAUUCCCCGCCAGCAAGUGCUCCUCCGGCAGCUUCGGGUUCGGCGAUACCCGAUGUGGCGGCCGAGGAGAUAGAGCGAGAGCGCUCGUUGACGGCUCUUAUCAGACUCAAGAAGUUCAACCCACCAAUCUUUGAAGGGGAGAAAGUGGAGCCGUCGAUGGUGGAGUCAUGGAUUGACUCAAUGGAGACACUUUUUGAG